rnacentral:tRNA from 1 species
AAUAAGGUGCCUGAAAAAAAGGUUUAUUUUGAUAGAAUAAGUAAUGUAUUAAUAAUACUCUUAUUG